rnacentral:rRNA from 1 species
GAACGGACUCAUAUUGAAACCUAGUGAUGUAUGAGUUAGUGGCGGACGGGUGAGUAACGCGUGGAGAACCUGCCGUAUACUGGGGGAUAACACUUAGAAAUAGGUGCUAAUACCGCAUAAGCGCACAGCUUCGCAUGAAGCAGUGUGAAAAACUCCGGUGGUAUACGAUGGAUCCGCGUCUGAUUAGCUAGUUGGUGGGGUAAAGGCCCACCAAGGCGACGAUCAGUAGCCGGCCUGAGAGGGUGAACGGCCACAUUGGGACUGAGACACGGCCCAAACUCCUACGGGAGGCAGCAGUGGGGAAUAUUGCACAAUGGGGGAAACCCUGAUGCAGCGACGCUGCGUGAGUGAAGAAGUAUUUCGGUACGUAAAGCUCUAUCAGCAGGGAAGAAAAUGACGGUACCUGACUAAGAAGCCCCGGCUAACUACGUGCCAGCAGCCGCGGUAAUACGUAGGGGGCAAGCGUUAUCCGGAUUUACUGGGUGUAAAGGGAGCGUAGACGGCAGCGCAAGUCUGGAGUGAAAUCCCAUGGCUUAACCAUGGAACUGCUUUGGAAACUGUGCAGCUGGAGUGCAGGAGAGGUAAGCGGAAUUCCUAGUGUAGCGGUGAAAUGCGUAGAUAUUAGGAGGAACACCAGUGGCGAAGGCGGCUUACUGGACUGUAACUGACGUUGAGGCUCGAAAGCGUGGGGA